CAUUAACAAUUAUGGAAAAUACACUGUUUCUAUAACAAGUUUGAUCAAUGAGUGUAACAUAGUUUAGGAGAACCACAGACCAAGCUGGAGUACGAUAGGGGCAGAGAGAAUUUUCGGUGGAGCGGUGAAAUGCAUAGAAAUCGGAAAGAACACCAACGGCGAAAGUACUCUACUGGGCCAACACUGACACUGAGAGACGAAAGCUAGGGGAGCGAAUGGGAUUAGAUACCCCAGUAGUCCUAGCCGUAAAUGAUGGAUACUAGGCGUUGUGCGUAUCGACCCGUGUAAUGCUGUAGCUAACAUGUUAAGUAUCCCGCUUGGGGAGUACGUUCGCAAGAAUGAAACUUGAAGGAAUUGACGGGGGCCCGCACAAGCGGUAGAGCAUGUGGUUUAAUUCUAUGCAAAGCAAAGAACCUUACCAGGGCUUGACAUGCCUCGAAUCAUCUUGAAAGAGAGGGGUGCUUUCAGGAACGCGGACACAGGUGGUGCAUGGCUGUCGUCAAUUCGUGCCGUAAGGUAUUGGGUUAAGUCCCGCAACGAGCGCAACCCUUGUGUUUAGUUGCCCUCGUUGAGUUUGGAACCCUGAACAGACUGCCGGUGAUAAGUCGGAGGAAGGUGAGGAUGACGUCAAGUCAUCAUACCCUUUAUGCCCUGGACGACACAUGUGCUACAAUAGCCGGGACAAAGGAUCGCGAUCCCGUGAGGGUGAGCUAACCCCAAAAACCCAUUAGUAAUCUUUUUUAGAAAUCGAAUGGAUUCGGUCUUAUACAUACGCGAGGAAGCUAAUCAAAA
rnacentral:rRNA from 1 species